UAUAGACCCAUAUCUACUAUAUAGGUAGUAACAAAAUAUACAGAAUUCCUAUUAAGUCAGUAGGGACUUUUCAAAAAGUGCCCAUAUAUGCCAAGUGACCUUAUAAGUAGACGACCACAUAAGAAAUCUGACUGUAUAAUGACAGAAAUAAACAAUGGGGAAUUUGAAACAUCUGUAUACGGAAAAUACACAUAUGACCCCAUCUUUAUAUUUAAUGACUUGGAUGAAUCUUGGACCCAUAAAAUUGCAGCAUUCAGAACAUUAUUAAAAUGUAUAGACAUUCACUGUAUCACAGAAUUGAAAAAAUGUUAAUAAUAUGAGUGAAUAGUACAGCAGGCAAAAUACAUGGACACAAUAGGAGAAUGAUAAACAAUUUACAGAAGAGAAUUAAAAACAAAGAUAGAAAUACUAAUGUGAUGACUUCUAUAGUAAGACUAGAAAACAAAACUAAAUACAGUGCCUGCUGCUUUAUGCAAUCAAAUCCUUAGGAAUGGAUUCAAAUCAAUGCAAUACAACUGAAAAAUUGCC
rnacentral:lncRNA from 1 species